rnacentral:rRNA from 1 species
AAGGAAAAUAACAAUGAUUCCCUCAGUAACGGCGAGCGAAGAGGGAUAAGCUCAAAUUUUAAAUCUGUUGGGUUCCACUUAACAGAGUUGUAUUUUGAAGAAACGUUUUCUGCAUCCAGGAUUAGCCUAAAUCCUUUGGGAUAAGGUAUCAUGGAGGGUGAGAAUCCCGUUCAUGGUUAAUCUUAAGGAAGCUCUACGAUACGUUUUCCAAGAGUCGAGUUGUUUGGGAUUGCAGCUCAAAAUGGGAGGUAAAUUUCUCCUAAGGCUAAAUAUUGGCGAGAGACCGAUAGCGAACAAGUACCGUGAGGGAAAGAUGAAAAGAACUUUGAAAAGAGAGUUAAACAGUACGUGAAAUUGUUGAAAGGGAAACGAUUGAAG